rnacentral:rRNA from 1 species
AUCAACAGCUUUACUACCUUCUAGUCUUAUCUCAUCUCAGAAGAUAAGCAGGGCUAGACCUGCAUUGUACCAGGAUGAGAGAUCCCCCAAAAAACACAGGUAGCUGCUGGUA